CAAAAAGUAGCUUAACUAAAGCACUCCACUUACAAUUGAGAAACGUCAGCAUAAACUGACCUUUUUGC
rnacentral:tRNA from 1 species